rnacentral:rRNA from 1 species
GACGAACGCUGGCGGCGUGCUUAACACAUGCAAGUCGAACGGUGAAGCGCCUUCCUUUUUGGUGGGUGUGGAUGAGCGGCGAACGGGUGAGUAACACGUGAGUAACCUGCCCCCUUCUUCUGGAUAACCGCAUGAAAGUGUGGCUAAUACGGGAUAUUCUGGGUCUGUCGCAUGAUGGGUCUGGGAAAGAUAUUGUUUCGGUGGGGGAUGGGCUCGCGGCCUAUCAGCUUGUUGGUGGGGUGAUGGCCUACCAAGGCGGUGACGGGUAGCCGGCCUGAGAGGGUGGGCGGUCACCGUGGGACUGAGACACGGCCCAGACUCCUACGGGAGGCAGCAGUGGGGAAUAUUGCACAAUGGGCGCAAGCAUGAUGCAGCGACGCCGCGGGGGGGAUGGAGGCCUUCGGGUUGUGAACCUCUUUCGCCAGUGAAGCAGGCCUGCCUCGUUUGUGGGUGGGUUGACGGUAGCUGGAUAAGAAGCGCCGGCUAACUACGUG